UACGAAGGGGGCUAGCGUUGCUCGGAAUCACUGGGCGUAAAGCGCACGUAGGCGGCUUUUUAAGUCAGGGGUGAAAUCCUGGAGCUCAACUCCAGAACUGCCUUUGAUACUGGGAAGCUCGAGUCCGGGAGAGGUGAGUGGAACUCCGAGUGUAGAGGUGAAAUUCGUAGAUAUUCGGAAGAACACCAGUGGCGAAGGCAGCUCGCUGGGACGUGACUGACGCUGAGACGCGAAAGCGUGGGGAGCAAACAGG
rnacentral:rRNA from 1 species